rnacentral:lncRNA from 1 species
GCCCCGCCCUCAGCGCUCCGGCUGCGGGGCUGCGGGGCACGGCCGAGCGGCGCUUUGGUGCCCGGGCGCGUUCGGUCGGGUUAUCCCCGACUGCCGAACAACCAGCGCUCUCCGGCUUUCCGGGCGGAUCCGGCCGUUCUCCAGGGUUUUUCUAUCCAGCAGUGCUGCGGGAGCGCACACAGCCCCAGCGCUUUGGGACAGCUCCUGCUCAAAACGUUGCCAGAAGUGGUGUUAGAUGCCAAACACCGUAUUGACCCAUCUUCACUGACGAUUUACCAAAAUUUAAAUGGGCUCCUUUGGCAACAAAACCAAAAGAAGGAAGAAUCUCCUGUAAUGUUAAUUAAUCUUUAGCCUACUGGUGUCUGAUGAACACAUGGGAAAGAACAGCUGGUCUCAGUGCAAGAUACAUGGGCUUAGUGAUGAGGAAAAGGUGUCAGAGAAGAUGAAUUUCCAGGACUGGAAAAUAGGACAGCAAAGAAUGGAUUUGGAGCAUGAAAAGAUGGAGGAUUAUGGCCAGACAUUGGAGAGAGGUCUGUGCAAAGGAGCUACAGUAGGUGGUGGUCAGCCUACGCCUGUGAAAAUCUCAGAGGUAAAUUUGCAGAGAAGUAAAUUCUUAAAGUCAGCUCAGGAUGCAGACAGAAAAAAGCUGGAGAGACUGAUAAUUUUGCUACCUUAACAGACAUUCAAAUAAAAACUGUAAAAAGUGUAAACUAAUUUUGAAA